AUCCUGAUGACGAGUCCCGAAUAGGACGAAACGCGCGUCAAACUGGAU
rnacentral:hammerhead_ribozyme from 1 species